UUGCUUUGACAGCACAUAUACUAAAAUUGGAACAAUACAGAGAACAUGAGCGUGGCCUCUGAGCAAGGAUGACAUGCAAAUCUGUGAAGAAAAAAACCAAAAA
ensembl:snRNA U6 U6 spliceosomal RNA